rnacentral:rRNA from 1 species
GAUGAACGCUAGCUACAGGCUUAACACAUGCAAGUCGAGGGGUAACGAGAGGAAAGCUUGCUUUCCUUGUCGACGACCGGCGCACGGGUGAGUAACGCGUAUCCAACCUGCCCCCAACUAGGGAAUAACCUUGCGAAAGUAAGACUAAUACCCUAUAAUUUCCUCAGAUGUCAUCUGACGAGGAAUAAAGAUUUAUCGGUUGCGGAUGGGGAUGCGUCUGAUUAGCUUGUUGGCGGGGUAACGGCCCACCAAGGCAACGACCAGUAGGGGUUCUGAGAGGAAGGUCCCCCACAUUGGAACUGAGACACGGUCCAAAAUGCUACGGGAGGCAGCAGUGAGGAAUAUUGGUCAAUGGGCGGAAGCCUGAACCAGCCAAGUAGCGUGCAGGAUGACUGCCCGAUGGGUUGUAAACUGCUUUUAUACAGGAAUAAAGUUAGCCACGUGUGGUUAUUUGUAGGUACUGUAUGAAUAAGGACCGGCUAAUUCCGUGCCAGCCGCCGCCGUAA